GAUGAACGCUGGCGGCGUGCCUAAUACAUGCAAGUCGAGCGAACGGACGAGAAGCUUGCUUCUCUGAUGUUAGCGGCGGACGGGUGAGUAACACGUGGAUAACCUACCUAUAAGACUGGGAUAACUUCGGGAAACCGGAGCUAAUACCGGAUAAUAUUUUGAACCGCAUGGUUCAAAAGUGAAAGACGGUCUUGCUGUCACUUAUAGAUGGAUCCGCGCUGCAUUAGCUAGUUGGUAAGGUAACGGCUUACCAAGGCAACGAUGCAUAGCCGACCUGAGAGGGUGAUAGGCCACACUAGAACUGAGACACGGUCCAGACUCCUACGGGAGGCAGCAGUAGGGAAUCUUCCGCAAUGGGCGAAAGCCUGACGGAGCAACGCCGCGUGAGUGAUGAAGGUCUUCGGAUCGUAAAACUCUGUUAUUAGGGAAGAACAUAUGUGUAAGUAACUGUGCACAUCGUGACGGUACCUAAUCAGAAAGCCACGGCUAACUACGUG
rnacentral:rRNA from 1 species